CUUUGUUUGUUGAGCUCUGAGGGGCGAGAAUAAUCAACAAACUAAGUAUGUAGAUGUCCUUAUCGCUGCUUCUCCGGACGUGGGUUCGAUUCCCACCGUCUCCACUA
rnacentral:tmRNA from 1 species